AACGUAGGGGGCCAGCGUUGCUCGGAAUUACUGGGCGUAAAGGGUCCGUAGGCGGUGUGGCAAGUCGGAAGUGAAAUCUCAGGGCUUAACCCUGCGGCUGCUUCUGAAACUGCCGUGCUAGAGUGCGAGAGAGGUCAGUGGAAUUGCAGGUGUAGCGGUGAAAUGCGUAGAUAUCUGCAGGAACACCCGUGGCGAAGGCGGCUGACUGGAUCGCAACUGACGCUGAGGAACGAAAGCUAGGGGAGCAAACAGG
rnacentral:rRNA from 1 species